rnacentral:misc_RNA from 1 species
UUUUGGUAUGUAUAUGUUAAUUUAUUUUAUUGUUUUAGUAGAUUAUUUUUAUGUUGUUUUGGGGUAAGUAAGAAAUGGAUGCGUGGUUUGUUUUUGUAAAUUUUUUUGAGUAGUUAGAUGAUUAAAUGUUUGGUUAUUUUAUUGUAUGGUUUGAAUUAAAGAAAUAAAAAAGGGGGAGAUGCGGGGAGUGAGUUUUGUUUUUGGUAAAGGUUAUGAGGAA